rnacentral:rRNA from 1 species
AGUGAACGCUGGCGGUAGGCCUAACACAUGCAAGUCGAACGGCAGCACAGUAAGAGCUUGCUCUUACGGGUGGCGAGUGGCGGACGGGUGAGGAAUACAUCGGAAUCUACUUUUUCGUGGGGGAUAACGUAGGGAAACUUACGCUAAUACCGCAUACGACCUACGGUUGAAAGCAGUGGAUCUUCGGACCUUGCGCGAUUGAAUGAGCCGAUGUCGGAUUAGCUAGUUGGCGGGGUAAAGGCCCACCAAGGCGACGAUCCGUAGCUGGUCUGAGAGGAUGAUCAGCCACACUGGAACGGAGACACGGUCCAGACUCCUACGGGAGGCAGCAGUGGGGAAUAUUGGACAAUGGGCGCAAGCCUGAUACAGCCAUACCGCGUGGGUGAAGAAGGCCUUCGGGUUGUAAAGCCCUUUUGUUGGGAAAGAAAAGCAGCAGGUUAAUACCCCGCUGUUCUGACGGUACCCAAAGAAUAAGCACCGGCUAACUUCGUG